rnacentral:rRNA from 1 species
AUUGAACGCCGGCGGCAGGCUUAACACAUGCAAGUCGAGCGCCCCGCAAGGGGAGCGGCAGACGGGUGAGUAACGCGUGGGAAUCUACCCAUCUCUACGGAAUAACUCAGGGAAACUUGUGCUAAUACCGUAUACGCCCUUUUGGGGAAAGAUUUAUCGGAGAUGGAUGAGCCCGCGUUGGAUUAGCUAGUUGGUGGGGUAAAGGCCUACCAAGGCGACGAUCCAUAGCUGGUCUGAGAGGAUGAUCAGCCACAUUGGGACUGAGACACGGCCCAAACUCCUACGGGAGGCAGCAGUGGGGAAUAUUGGACAAUGGGCGCAAGCCUGAUCCAGCCAUGCCGCGUGAGUGAUGAAGGCCCUAGGGUUGUAAAGCUCUUUCACCGGAGAAGAUAAUGACGGUAUCCGGAGAAGAAGCCCCGGCUAACUUCGUGCCAGCAGCCGCCGUAA